GCUUUUAUAAUUUAAUUAAAAUAUUGGUCUUGUAAAUCAAAUAUAAGUGUUACCUUUAAAAGCU
rnacentral:tRNA from 1 species